rnacentral:rRNA from 1 species
UACGGGGGGGGCAAGCGUUGUUCGGAAUUACUGGGCGUAAAGGGCCCGUAGGCGGCCAACUAAGUCAGACGUGAAAUCCCUCGGCUUAACCGGGGAACUGCGUCUGAUACUGGAUGGCUAGAGGUUGGGAGAGGGAUGCGGAAUUCCAGGUGUAGCGGUGAAAUGCGUAGAUAUCUGGAGGAACACCGGUGGCGAAGGCGGCAUCCUGGACCAAUUCUGACGCUGAGGAGCGAAAGCCAGGGGAGCAAACGGG